UUUGGCACAUUGCUUUGCAACCGCAGCGAGCUCAGCACAGCAGAGAGGAGCCGGCCGUACAGAAGAAAAAAAAAACGCGAUUUUGCCAAUCUCCAAUAAACGCAGUGAAUUAUCGGGCACCAGAAAACGGAUCGUGCGUCGCCGUAUUCGCGAGAAAAAGUGCGGAAAAUAUCGACCAGUUAGGCGAGUGGUGUUUUCCCGUCGGAGUGAAUCGUUUUUGGCUGCCUGAAAACCCAGGAAAUCCCAGGUGGAAGUCCUUUUCCUGCUGUGAGUGUGGAUCUGUCUGGAACCAAGAAAAAAGGCAGAACGGAGUAGCAGGAGAGAAAAAAACGAAGCGAUCCAUCGUUCAUCGCGCUGUGCGUGUGUGAAAAUUGUGGAAAAGGUUUUAAUUGCGUUUGGGAAAAAUCCUGUGUAGAUAAUUUUUGGUGUUUUGCUGUUUUCCGUGGCCGAGAGGUGCGCUAAAGCCCAGACAAGAUGCAGAUCUUGCAGAUCCUUGAGAAGACCGUAUCACCAGACAAAGAUGAACUGCUGGCAGCGAAAAACUUCCUGGAGCAGGCCGCAGCAUCCAACCUGCCCGGCUUCAUCCGAGCCCUGUCCGAUGUGCUGGUCUUUGCCGGUAAUUCUCCGGUGGCCCGCAUGGCCGCCGGUUUGCAGCUAAAAAACCAGCUCACCAGCAAAGAUGCAACCAUCAAGUAUCAGUACCAGGAACGGUGGCUCUCGUUCCCGGAGGAUAUGCGGGAAUAUGUUAAAAAGAACAUUGUUGCAACUCUUGGAACGGAAAGCACCCGCCCUUCAUCUGCAGCACAGUGCGUCGCUUAUGUGGCCGUUGCUGAAUUGCCCGUAGGACAGUGGCCCGAUCUGAUACAGAAGCUGGUGGACAAUGUAGUCAAUGAAAAGUCCACUGAAAUGCAACGGGAGGCCACGCUGGAAGCUAUCGGCUACAUCUGCCAGGACAUCAAUUCGGAAAUCCUGGAACAUCAAUCCAACCAGAUCUUGACGGCAAUCAUUCAUGGUAUGCGCAAGUCGGAACCGUCCAACAAUGUCAGGUUGGCUGCCACCAAUGCAUUGCUCAACUCGCUGGAGUUCACCAAGGCUAACUUCGAGGAAGCAACCGAACGAAAUUAUAUCAUGGAAGUAGUCUGCGAAGCGACUCAAUCCGGCGAAACGCAAAUCUGUGUGGCCGCUCUUCAGUGUUUGGUGAAGAUUCUUACCCUCUACUAUCAGCACAUGGAAGCUUACAUGGCUCAAGCUCUGUUCCCAAUCACCCUUGAAGCGAUGAAAUCCGACAACGAACACGUUGCUCUCCAGGGUAUUGAGUUCUGGUCUAACGUAAGCGAUGAGGAGAUUGACUUGGCCAUUGAAGCACAGGAAGCGCAGGAAGCUGGGCGUCCUCCGAAUCGAGUGUCGCGUCACUAUGCCCGUGGAGCUCUGCAGUUUCUUGCUCCGGUUCUGAUGGAGAAACUUACCCGCCAGGAAGAAUUCGACGACGAGGAUGAUUGGAACCCGUCCAAGUCGGCUGGCGUGUGCUUAAUGCUGUUGGCCACCUGCUGCGAGGAUGAAAUUGUACCGUUUGUCUUGCCAUUCGUCAACAACAACAUCAAGUCCACCAAUUGGCGCUACCGGGACGCAGCCCUGAUGGUAUUUGGUUCGAUUCUCAGUGGAUUGGAAGCGACUACCCUGAAGCCGCUGGUGGAACAGGCCAUGCCCACGUUAAUCGAGCUGAUGUACGACCAGAGCGUAAUUGUGAGAGAUACCUGUGCGUGGACUUUUGGCAGAAUAUGCGAGGUCAUUCCGGAAGCGGCCAUCAACGAGCAGUAUUUGGAACUCCUGUUGAAGGCUCUGCUCAAUGGUCUGAAGGCCGAACCUCGCGUUGCAACAAAUGUUUGCUGGGCAUUCACAGGGCUCUCGGAAGCAGCUUACGAUGCAGCCAACGUUGACGAUGAUCCCCCACAGACCUACUGCCUGUCGAAGUACUUUGAUUUCAUCAUUAGCAACCUGCUGGAAACGACCGAUCGCCAUGACGGUGGACAGGCCAAUCUGCGUUCGUCGGCAUACGAAGCACUGAUGGAAAUGAUCAAAAAUUCCCCGCAGGAUUGCUACGUUUCGGUACAGAAGACUACCAUGGUCAUCCUGGAACGGUUAAAUCAAGUCCUGCAAAUGGAAUCGCACAUUUCCACUCACUCCGACCGGCAUCAGUUCAACGAUCUGCAGUCGCUGUUGUGUGCCACGCUGCAAUCAGUGUUGCGAAAGGUUGACGCCAAGGAUGCUCCCCAGAUCUCGGACGCAAUCAUGACCGCGCUUUUGACCAUGUUCAGUUCAAGUUCCGGAAAGGUUGGUGGUGUGCAGGAAGAUGCUCUGAUGGCAGUUUCCACGUUAGUCGAUUUGCUCGGCGAAGGAUUCAUCAAGUAUAUGGAUGCCUUCAAGGAGUAUUUGUACAUGGGUCUGAAAAAUCAUCAGGAGUACCAGGUUUGCUGUACAGCAGUCGGACUUGCCGGAGACAUUUGUCGAGGACUGAAAAACAAAAUCCUUCCAUUCUGUGACGAAAUCAUGACAUUACUUCUGGAAAAUCUAAGUAAUCCGUCGAUCCAUAGGAGCGUGAAACCGCAGAUCUUAUCCGUAUUCGGUGAUAUGGCGCUGAGCAUUGGUGCAGACUUCAAAAAGUAUCUCAGCAUUGUCCUGCAGAUGUUGACGCAUGCCACCCAGGUUCAAGUUGACCCGAAUGAUUACGACAUGAUCGACUAUCUGAAUGAACUGCGCGAGAGCGUACUGGAAGCCUACACCGGAAUCGUGCAGGGUUUGAAAGGAGUCGACAAGGCGCCUAACGAUGAUGUCAACCUGCUUCAGCCGCACGUUCCAUUCAUCAUCAACUACAUCGUUUCGAUUGCCAAGGACAGCGAAUUGUCGGACGGAAAUAUUGCCAUCGCGUCGGGACUGAUUGGUGACAUGUGUUCCGCGUUCGGUCCUCCCCUGUUGCAGCUUGUCGGAGAUCCUCACAUCCAGCAGCUACUGGGAGAGGGCAAGAAUAGCCGAACAUCACGAACCAAAACGCUCGCCAACUGGGCGCUGAAGGAAAUCAAAAAACUUAAGCAACCGGCGAACGACGCGAGUUGGCGACUUAAAUGAACUGGUAGUAGAGAAUUGUAACUUUAUAGGUGUGCUUGAGGAUAAUAGUGUGUGAACGGGCGCGCGCGAGAGAGAGAUAGAGAGAUUGUUAUGCAAGGAGAAAGCAAAACGAAUCAUGAAUCAAAAGUUGGACCAGGAAAUUGUGAGAAUCCGCUCUUGAGUGAUCGUUGAUUGAAAGAUUUAAUCCAGCAUCAAUGGUAACACGCUCAACUACACAACAGCCAACGGUACCGCCGGCACCAACAGCAGCACAGUUCCAGCAAUGUAAUCCUGUUACUACUAAUAGCACUUCGCCGUUUGUAUUAUCAUCGUUGUCCCAGUCUCAGCCAUCAGCCUCUUCUCCCAUACAACAAGACGACUUGAUUCCUUUGGAUCUGUCCUCCACCGCCGUCGCCACCGCCGUUUCUAUCCAGGAUGAGGACGAUGAACCCUUCCAAUGCAACUAUUACUACAGCGAUAAUCUCUGUUUCGACGUGUCACUGCAGAUCUAAGGUUUGUGCGGGGCGCCAAUCCUCUCGGCGCAUCUGCCCUCAAGUGACACAGCAAGUAAGUAAAAAAAACCCAUUUUUUCCGUCAUAUGAAACUCCAAGAUCUGGGUGGGGGAGGGACCGCGAUGCUGAUGCUGCUUCUGCUGUUGAUGAUAAUGUUGGUAAUGGGUUUGGGACAGAAGCAUGAACUGUACAGCCGAGCAAAACCAGAAACAAAAAUCUGUGUUGUAGUGAAAGAUAAAUUAUUACUGUGUAAGCUAAUUAAAUUAAAUCAAUUAUCCAAAAAAAAAAAGUAAACAAGCCCUACCUAGCGAGACACCACUACACACACAGUCUGUACAUCUCUUCUUCAACUAAAUGCAAACUUUCCAAAUUACACAAAACCUAGCUCUAGGAUAUAGUUGAAGCGUGUGCCAUAGUGAAACGGAAACUCUCUUCCGGAGGGCAAAAAAAAAGCACCCAAACUCCGACUCGGAAACGGUUAGUCAAGUUGUAAAGUUUCGUCAAAAAUAAGAAGAAAAAAAAAAUUGUUAUUCAUCUGUUGUAUACUUUCACCGUGGCACUCGUUUUGUUUUCCAGUCAACUUACGAAGGAACUUUGACAUCAUAAAUUCCGACACAGAAUACAAACAAACACACUCAACAUACAACAUGUAUUCAUAAGUAAAUUUAAACAGAAAUAAUAUUUAAUUACAGUUAUAGAGAACAAUGGAAAUUGAAAUAUCCACCAGCAAAAAAAAAAAACAAGCAAAGGGAACGAAAUACUUCUGAUUCGACAAAUAUUACAGAAUCCACCCUGAGGGUGCGUAUUAUUGGCCAGAACUCGAGUUUUUUUUUUUUUUUUAAUUAAGAUCGUCUCUGUGAGGCAAAUGGAAUAUAAAUCCCUGGUGUGAAGAGUACACAAUCGAGUUUUAAAGAUUUAUUAUGGUGAAUGUAUAUUUUAGUAUGG